rnacentral:tRNA from 4 species
UCCAAGGUAGCUCAACGGUGGAGCACUCGGCUGUUAACCGAUAGGCUGUGGGUUCGAAUCCCACCCUUGGAGCCA